CAUGAAAGAAAAUCUUAUAAUAAAAGUUUUCAAUUAACUACAGGGCUUAGAGGUGCUCACACAGGGGAUGAAGAUAACAGACAAAAGACACUACCUACUCUAUGUUCAAAGACACCCAAACAUCUUGCUCCGCUGGACAAUAUAUAUAAGGAUGGCUCUGCAUGUUCAAGUCUUGAGCACCCACUUCUCUUAAAACAAAGUAGCAUCUUUCCCAUCUCAUCACAGUCCAGACGAAGAGUGGAAAGGAUCUUAGAGAAGUCACUCAAUCUGGAACUGGGGACCUAUUUGGAUUUUCAGGAUUUAGGGAGUUCUGUAAUACACAACACUACAAACGAUAAUGUCAUUUCAGACAAGAAAGGCUACACAUCUACCAAAUCAUUGACUGUUAGGAAAGUCGUCAAGAAUGAAAUAAGAUGCAAGUCUUUCAAAACAACAGAAAACUCUGAUUUUCAGAGAAAGUCUCCAAGUAUGAACUGCUGCACUUUCUCUGAAGGACCUGAAAACAUAACCAGACAAAUACCUACAGUCAGGGAAUCCUGUUCUGUUGCAUGUGAGAAACAACUCACUGCUCUAGAUACUGGUGUAUUAGAAAAAUCAUCGCAUGAGAAGAAAAAACCAAUUAAGAUGAUCAAGAGAAAUCCCAGUACAGGCAAAACAUCUAUUCAGACAAAUCAGUCAUUCAAUGUUCUGGCACACAGAAAACAAAGUACUGUUAAAACCACCAAUUCACUCAAAGGAGCAACUCAGAGAAAGUAAACCCACCAGCAUAGUUAUUGCAGGAGAGACGACUAACAAAUAUUUGCCAAGAGCACCUAUAAUGGCUUGUAAAAAACUGCAACAAGGUUGGUCUCUGAACCUUUUCAACACAUGAAGUUGAGUGAUGACAAAGUAAGCAAUUACAGUCAAAACCAACUUCACAGAGAUCUGAGAAGUGCAAGAGCAUCCAAAAAGCCAGCAACAGGACCAAUACAGUGAGCAAGGUCUGUUGUGGAUUAUGUCACUUACAAAGACAUGUUUCUGAAGCUCAGUCAGGGAGAUGAAGGUCCAGCAAUCUAUGAAAUGUUUGCAACUCCAGUUUAUGAGAAACUUAGCGCAGACAGUUCUGCAGAGAGAACCAGACAAGUUAAAAGACAGAUCAAUGGAAAAAUAAGGGGCCAAAAAAGGGGGUUAACCAAAGGAAACAAGCUCAAUCCAAGAGAUCCAGUCGAGCUAAAUGCAGGCAGCUCAAGCGGAGGGAUAAUGUUACCAAAGGGAUAAAGAAACGCCCACCUUCUCCAGAGAAUAAAUGCCAUGUCCUUGUAAUCUCUGCUUGUGGA
ensembl:lncRNA